rnacentral:rRNA from 1 species
GACGAACGCUGGCGGCGUGCCUAAUACAUGCAAGUAGAACGCUGAAGAGAGGAGCUUGCUCUUCUUGGAUGAGUUGCGAACGGGUGAGUAACGCGUAGGUAACCUGCCUGGUAGCGGGGGAUAACUAUUGGAAACGAUAGCUAAUACCGCAUAAAAUUGAUUAUUGCAUGAUAAUUAAUUGAAAGAUGCAACUGCAUCACUACCAGAUGGACCUGCGUUGUAUUAGCUAGUUGGUGAGGUAACGGCUCACCAAGGCGACGAUACAUAGCCGACCUGAGAGGGUGAUCGGCCACAUUGGGACUGAGACACGGCCCAGACUCCUACGGGAGGCAGCAGUAGGGAAUCUUCGGCAAUGGGGGGAACCCUGACCGAGCAACGCCGCGUGAGUGAAGAAGGUUUUCGGAUCGUAAAGCUCUGUUGUAAGAGAAGAACGGGUGUGAGAGUGGAAAGUUCACACUGUGACGGUAUCUUACCAGAAAGGGACGGCUAACUACGUG